GGUAGGCUUUCGUCGGUAACCUGACAUCUGUCCAAACCAAACAGUGUUCAGAAACUGCUGGCAGUUCGACUGGGAGACAAACUGAGGACAUACAAAUAUACAUACAAAAAGAAAAUUAUGAAGUGUUGGGCCAGGAGGUAGCUCACCCAGUAGAGUGCACAUUUUACCAAACAUAAGGACCCAGGUUCAAGGCCCAAGCCACCACCACGGAAAACCAUGGAAAGGGAACAUUUCAUGAGCAGUGGAGCAGUGUUGUGGUAUUUCUCCUGUCUCUAUUUUUCUUGUCCCCACCCCUCCUUCCUUUAUCUGGAAAAAAAAAGAAAGAAGAAAAAAAGAAGUCUGCUAUGUCUACAAAGCCCCAGUGAAGCCCUGGUGGUAAACAAAUAAUACAUCAUCAUCAUCAUAAAUAUAUUUAACUAAAAUUUCCAUUCAAUUAAAAUAUUAUUAUUAUUUAUUACUA